rnacentral:rRNA from 1 species
GAUGAACGCUGGCGGCGUGCCUAAUACAUGCAAGUCGAGCGAACGGACGAGAAGCUUGCUUCUCUGAUGUUAGCGGCGGACGGGUGAGUAACACGUGGAUAACCUACCUAUAAGACUGGGAUAACUUCGGGAAACCGGAGCUAAUACCGGAUAAUAUUUUGAACCGCAUGGUUCAAAAGUGAAAGACGGUCUUGCUGUCACUUAUAGAUGGAUCCGCGCUGCAUUAGCUAGUUGGUAAGGUAACGGCUUACCAGGGCAACGAUGCAUAGCCGACCUGAGAGGGUGAUCGGCCACACUGGAACUGAAACACGGUCCAGACUCCUACGGGAGGCAGCAGUAGGGAAUCUUCCGCAAAGGGCGAAAGCCUGACGGAGCAACGCCGCGUGAGUGAUGAAGGUCUUCGGAUCGUAAGACCCUGUUAUUAGGGAAGAACAUAUGUGUAAGUAACUGUGCACAUCUUGACGGUACCUAAUCAGAAAGCCACGGCUAACUACGUG